UAAAUUUUGAAUGCAUUUUAUUAUCUGUGCAUAAGUGUUUAUUAUUUUUCAUUUAGGUUUUAAUUCCAGUUUUUGCUCUGGGUCAUACUCAAGAGAUGUGUAUUCUUCUUGAAAUUUACUAAGAGAAGAUGAAUCUUAAAAUACCCAUAUAUUUUGCUGUUGGUCUACUGAAAAAGCUACCACCUUUUGUAAGAUGUUCAUAAUUUGGACCAACAAAAAAAUCAAGAAAGUAUUUGUGCACCGUAAUAUGUUUGAUUUCAAACACAUCAAUCCUUUGACCGUGCUUAUAUAGAUAAUCCUGGUACUAUGGUUGUUUUUGAAACUGCAGGAAUGUUGCACUCUGGAUUAUCUGUUCAAAUAUUCAAAAUGAAAAUAACAUGCUGUCACAACUACUACCAAAAAAAAAUGUGUUGCAUGGAAUGCUAGUGAUGAAUAAUAACGUGAGUUUCAAUUUUAUUUCACUAUUUUCAUUUUACAUUUUUAUUGAUCUGAAAUUUUUAUACUCCCUUCUUUUUUGUCAGUUCUAAAAUUUUCUCCAAUUUUUGAAAGUUACAAAUCAGAAAAGAGAUAUAUAUUUUUAGAUCAAGCAAUUUUCCCAUAUAAUUCAUUAUUUCAAGAAUCAAUCUCCAAUUCACGUAUUGAUUUGUUAUGGGAACGUGGAGGACUUUGUGACACGACAGAUUUAAUGUGCACCAAUUAAUAUUUGCUACACGGAUUGACACUUCGGCUGACAGAGAUUCAACCUUCUGGACAUGGGCCCAAUACCCUACCAACUAGGUUAUCCCAGCCGAGAUAAAUUUUGUUUUUACUUGUGUUAAUGCUUAAAUAUGUAAAAAGUUUUUCUUUUCCAAUGCCCACCUGUGUUAACAUCCGUCA